rnacentral:lncRNA from 1 species
GGGGAAAUUGAAAAGCAAAUGAAAAGCAUUGAGCUCAAAUGUGUGAAAAGAAAAAUUCAUGAGAAAAAGAAAAGAAAAGAAGAAAAGCAUGAAGAUGAGCUCAAUGAAAAAGAAAAGGGGAAAAAGUUGGGAUUGAGAGAGAUUGGUGAGGAAGAGAGUUGUGCUUAAAUGUUGAAUAUUUUGAUAGCUCUCUUGACUCAAGGAUUUUUCAUUCCAGAAAAACCAAUUCUUCUUGUUAACCCAACCUCAUUACAAGCCUUGAAAAGUCCUUUUGAUGGCAUUUGCAUGUAAGGAUUUUGAUUGUUUGAGAUGAAUGGCAAUUUUGUUUCAUGUGACUUG